AGCCCAUGGUGAGGGCACCUUCUCAAGAGGUCCUUGUAUCUCUCCCAUGCUUCAUAGAGUGUUUCUAGAUCCAUCUGCACAAAAGAAGAGAUGUCAUUCCUUAAUUU
rfam:Gossypium arboreum cultivar AKA8401 contig_8962_13, whole genome shotgun sequence.